UACGUAGGGUGCGAGCGUUAAUCGGAAUUACUGGGCGUAAAGUGUGCGCAGGCGGCCGAGCAAGUCGAGUGUGAAAGCCCCGGGCUUAACUUGGGAAUUGCGCUCGAAACUACUUUGCUGGAGUGUGGCAGAGGAAGGUGGAAUUCCACGUGUAGCGGUGAAAUGCGUAGAGAUGUGGAGGAACACCAAUGGCGAAGGCAGCCUUCUGGGCCAACACUGACGCUCAUGCACGAAAGCGUGGGGAGCAAUCAGG
rnacentral:rRNA from 1 species